rnacentral:misc_RNA from 1 species
AGCAGCCGCGGUAAUUCCAGCUCCAAUAGCGUAUAUUAAAGUUGUUGCAGUUAAAAAGCUCGUAGUUGAAUUCCGGGAUCAAUAUGUUGGUCGUGCCUCGGUACGUACUAGCUUAUUGGUUUCUCCUUUCUGAAGAACCAUGAUGUCAUUUAUUUGGUGUCGUGGGGAAUCAGGACUGUUACUUUGAAAAAUUAGAGUGUUUAAAGCAGGCUCACGCUUGAAUACAUUAGCAUGGAAUAAUGAAAUAGGACGUUUGAUUCUAUUUUGUUGGUUUCUAGGAUCGACGUAAUGAUUAAUAGGGAUAGUUGGGGGCAUUAGUAUUCAAUUGUCAGAGGUGAAAUUCUUGGAUUUAUUGAAGACUAACUACUGCGAAAGCAUUUGCCAAGGAUGUUUUCAUUAAUCAAGAACGAAAGUUAGGGGAUCGAAGACGAUCAGAUAUCGUCGUAGUCUUAACCAUAAACUAUGCCGACUAGGGAUCGGGAUGAUUGUUAAUUUUUUAAUGUACUUCAUUCGGCGUACC